GUCCAACGGCACCGGAACGUUCCGCCUUGGCCGCCGAGGGGCCGAGAUUCCGGCCCGCAUGGUCGGCCUCGGAAGUCGGCCCUGGGAACGGAUCUGCCGGCUCCUGCCGGGCCGGGGUUCCAGAGCCCCGGCCGCAGGGGGGCAAAUCCGACCCGCCGAUUGGCUGCGGAAGUCCCGAUGAGAUCGAGAUCGGCCGCCUCACCCGGCCUAGGGGCCACAUUUUCGGGGGGACUUCCAGGGGGGAUUUCAAGUCCGCUCUUGUAAUUUUGUCCGGAUUAAAGGAGAUGCCGGACCACCUGUUGCUGGAAAAUGGGUGGUGGACCUGUAAUGUUAAAAGGUU